rnacentral:hammerhead_ribozyme from 1 species
CAACUUCUGAGGAGUCCCACACUAGGACGAAAUGACCAUCCAGUGC